rnacentral:rRNA from 1 species
UACGGGGGGGGCAAGCGUUGUUCGGAAUUACUGGGCGUAAAGGGCUCGUAGGCGGCCAACUAAGUCAGACGUGAAAUCCCUCGGCUUAACCGGGGAACUGCGUCUGAUACUGGAUGGCUUGAGGUUGGGAGAGGGAUGCGGAAUUCCAGGUGUAGCGGUGAAAUGCGUAGAUAUCUGGAGGAACACCGGUGGCGAAGGCGGCAUCCUGGACCAAUUCUGACGCUGAGGAGCGAAAGCCAGGGGGGCAAACGGG